rnacentral:rRNA from 1 species
GAGUUUGAUUCUGGCUCAGGACGAACGCUGGCGGCGUGCCUAAUACAUGCAAGUCGAGCGCGGGAAGCGAGCUGAUCCCUUCGGGGUGACGCUCGUGGAACGAGCGGCGGACGGGUGAGUAACACGUGGGCAACCUGCCUGUAAGAUCGGGAUAACUCCGGGAAACCGGGGCUAAUACCGGGUAAUACUUUCUUUCGCAUGAAGGAAAGUUGAAAGAUGGCUUCUCGCUAUCACUUACAGAUGGGCCCGCGGCGCAUUAGCUAGUUGGUGAGGUAACGGCUCACCAAGGCGACGAUGCGUAGCCGACCUGAGAGGGUGAUCGGCCACACUGGGACUGAGACACGGCCCAGACUCCUACGGGAGGCAGCAGUAGGGAAUCUUCCGCAAUGGACGAAAGUCUGACGGAGCAACGCCGCGUGAACGAUGAAGGUCUUCGGAUCGUAAAGUUCUGUUGUUAGGGAAGAACAAGUACCGUGCGAAUAGAGCGGUACCUUGACGGUACCUAACGAGGAAGCCCCGGCUAACUACGUGCCAGCAGCCGCGGUAAUACGUAGGGGGCAAGCGUUGUCCGGAAUUAUUGGGCGUAAAGCGCGCGCAGGCGGUUCCUUAAGUCUGAUGUGAAAGCCCACGGCUCAACCGUGGAGGGUCAUUGGAAACUGGGGAACUUGAGGACAGAAGAGGAGAGUGGAAUUCCACGUGUAGCGGUGAAAUGCGUAGAUAUGUGGAGGAACACCAGUGGCGAAAGCGACUCUCUGGUCUGUUUCUGACGCUGAGGUGCGAAAGCGUGGGUAGCAAACAGGAUUAGAUACCCUGGUAGUC